rnacentral:lncRNA from 1 species
CCAAAUCCACUCACAAGGCUUUGGUUGGCCCGAGGCUAUAGUAGAAGACACUUGCCCUAGUAGAAGCAACUUGCCCAAGGUGCCACACAGUGGGACUGAACCUAGAACCAUGUGGUUGGUAAGCAAGUUACUUACCACACAACCACUCCUGCACGUAUGUAAAUAUUUAUUUAUAACUAACAGAGAUACCCAGCAUUGCUCAGGAUUUAAAUGGCAUAGUUUGUAUAUCUGGUACAGUUAAGUUGAAACAUGACACACGGAAGUGUAGCAUUGACAACAAAACAUUUGUUGAGUAAAUGAAGGGCUAAUUCAGCAAAGUGACACGUCAUGGUUCUGUUUGAAAGAUUACAGGCCCUAACCUUGUCCUGGAAAAGUGGGUAGGAGUAUGUGAUUUUUGAAUGCACCAAAAAUGCUCUCAAUGGAUAUGCUCUCCUUUUGUGGCUGUUGGCGCUGCCACUACCAUACUGAACAAUCAGCAGACAUAGGAACUACAUCUGUGUGAUAAAUUAAGCCUGUGGGCAUGCUCAACAGCACCACGUAAGAGAAAUCUAUAUGAAAGAGAUGAUGUGAUAAGUGGGGCAGUUGGCAAGGAAGUGCAUGUAAACAACACUAUCAUGCGAUAUUUUAGUUUCAAAUCAAUACUCGUGGCUCAACCAUACACUCCUUCACGUAAACAGUGUGUGACCAUUGCAAGGACAACUCAGCUCGACCAAAAAUAAUUUUGCAUGCAGUGUCCAGGCACGCAAGGUCACAGUAAGGACAUAGUCUCUAACUAACAUGGUUGGGUCUUAGACACCAUAAAUUAACCCUUUAGUAUUCGCAUUAUUCUGCCAAAAUGAAAUUUUUUUAAUCCACAUUGCUUUGAACUAAUCAAGCAUUAUCUUGUAGCUAUGAGAUUUUGAUAAGGUAGCUGUUAAUUUUUAAAACGAUAUUGUAGGGCUGGUGUGAGAAACCAGAUCUGGCCAGUUUGAACAUAAAACAGGCAGAAUACUUUUGGCCGGAUAUGGCCGGUUUAAAUGCUAAAGGGUUAAUAGGUUAAUAUACAUGUGAUAUUUCGGUUUGUAAUCAAUAGCUGAAGAAUAUAUGUACAGGCUUUGUCUAUGCUUAGAAGGAAGUCUUUCAUACCGACGCUACAAGAAAACAAUUGAAUAGUUCCUCAGGAUUUAACAUAUUUUAGCAUAUAUUUCAUAAUAAACUUAAUGCAUUCCAAACGGUUUAUUCCAACAAAUUGCUACCUAUGUCACUACAGGAACAGGCCAUUAUUGCUACUACUUCGACAACACAAUUUGAAGUCUACAUGGGUUCAUCCAUUUAAUACAACUUACUGCUUUUUCCAGUUUGAGCAGAAGCAAUGUGUAGACAAUGCAGACGGUCAUAUGUAUCCCAAGAUUUCCACACACAUCUGCAAUAUUUUCUCAGUUCUGCUAGUUAUGGGUUCUCCCAGAACAUUCGUCAAUAUCGACAUUUUUUUGGCCAUCAUGAAACAUUUGUACACUUGUGUGUGACUCAUACGCUCCUCUCCAUAUACUUUCAGCAACUUUGCAUAGGCCUCUCAGCAGGUAUCGUCAUGACAACUUUCUCUGUCAUGGUCAAUGCGAUGAUAACGCGCUACACACCUUCCUUCCAAGCACUGCUGUAAACAGCAGAAGUGAGCUAGAACGUUAAAACGUAGUGUGCAUUCACAGCAGAGUUCAAAGUCAAUCUGUGUCAAGUGGCUUCAUUCUGCAUGCAUUAGCUUCGUUACUAUGGCAACAGUCAUCAGACCUUGUGUGUGUAUAAAGCAGCAAGCUGGCAGAAACGUUAGCACACAGGGCGAAAUGCUUAGCAGUAUUCGUCUGCUGUUAUGUUCUGAGUUCAAAUUCCGCCGCGGUCGACUUUGCCUUUCAUCCUUUCGGGGUCGAUAAAUUAAGUACCAGUUAUGCACUGGGGUUGAUGUAAUCGAUUUAAUCCCUUUGUCUGUCCUUGUUUGUCCCCUCUAUGUUUAGCCCCUUGUGAGCAAUAAAGAAAUAAGACCUUGUGUGUGUAUGUAUAUAUGUGUGUGCAUGUAUAUAUGUCUGUGUGUAUAUAUGUAUGUGUGUGUAUAAAAAAUGUGUGUACAAAUAGAUGUACAACUGCAAUGGUCAAGUUUAGCACUCCAUGUAGAGUGUCAUAGUCCAGUCUGCUUCCAGUAUAGUGGUUAAGCAACUGCUGUACUUAGUUGUAUUACUUGUAAUAGUAUACAGAACAAUCAUAUGAGAAAUUAUGAUAAACACAAGUUUAUAUUAAUUGUUCCCUACAUGUGUUUAAUAAUUUUGGUUGUUUGGAACUCUGCAUUGGAUUUGUGGAGGCACAUGGCCUAGUGGUUAGAGCAGCAGACUCACGGUCGAGGGAUCGCGGGUUCGAAUCUCAGACCAGGCAAUGUGCGUGUUUAUGAGCGAAACACCUAAGCUCCAUGCACCCCCGGCAGAAGGUAAUGUGAAACUUCUGCUGAUUCUUUCGCUACAACUUUCUUUCACUCUUUCCUCCUGCAUCUUGCAGCUCACCUGCGACGGACCAGCGUCCUGUCCGGGUGGGGAAACCUAUACGCCAAGAAACCGAGAAACCGGCCCUUAUGAGCCGGGAAUGGCUCGAGAAGGAACAAACAACAAUUGGAUGUGCCAAGUGCUGUUUGAUGCUUAACAACAACAACGGAUCAUCAAAGAACACUAAGUUUUCAGUAACAUAAUUGAAUAAAAUGUUCCCUUGAUGAUCUGCAGCUGAUAAAACUUCCAAUUACACUCGGAAACAUCCAGGGCAGUGUUCCAAACAAAUACAAUAGUGAAAUGUGUGUCAGAACAAAUAUUAUAAGCCUGUACUAGUAAUUUCUUUUCUUUGUGUGUAUGUGUGUAUGUGUUUUGCUGGUGCCUAUCAGUGAAAAGACUAAAAUAAACUUAUAUAUUUGAACAUAAAUACCUUGUGGUAUUUAUUGUGCCGGAGCUGUCCAGAUAGUAAUCCCUUGUAACACUUAACAUCAGAAAUGCAGUCAACCAGUGAUUGAUCGAUCCCAUUGGGACCUGUAACUAUUUACAUUAUUCACAAAAUACAAGACACGGCAAAUAACUGCCAAGAAAUAUUAUCACUGUUGUUUGGCACUUGGCAAUUUCAGAUCAAAUUAGCACAGUUUUGAGACAAGUGAAUCAAUCAGCUUCGUGGUGGUGGUAAUGCUAUGCAUGUGUCUCUUCUUUUUUAGUGUAUACCGUAUAUACUUCCUUACUUUCUUCAUUUUAUUUUAUGUUUUAAUCAUUUCAUUAAAUAUAAACACCCAUACUUUAUGUCUGUCUUUGUAUUAUCCCCUUCAACCUUUGCCCUUGUGGCAAAUAAAUGAAAUCAUCAUUGUUAUUAGUAGUAGUAAUUUAUUAUUAUUAGUAGUAGUUAUAAUUUAACCUUUAGCAUUUAAACUGACCAUAUCAGAGCCCAAUAUCCUACCCGUUUUUAUGUUCAAAUUAGUCUCAAGGGAUCUUUUCGGUUUGAACAGCAGUUUUUUUCUAGCAGUGUCAUAUGAAAUUGUCACCCAUAAUUAUGACCCUAGUAUCGAUCUAUUGCAUUUCAAUCUGUUUUAGGGUUAGGGUUAGUUUUCUUCACAAAUGUAAAUAUACCCAAUCUGUUUCUUAAACGAGGAUAUUAUUCAUACGGCACAGAAUGUUUUUUAACUCAAUGGACGUAUUUGAUUGGUUGAAAUUGCAGAAAUUGAAGAAAAAAACAACAAAUAUCUUACAAACUAUAGAAUUUUCUCAAUAAAGUCAAGAGAAAAAGAUGUUUUAUUAACACAUUCUACCCGUAUAUGAAGUUUAAAAUUUUUUAGUUACCUAGAAAUUAUGUUAAAAACUGCCAUUCAAACCGAAAAGAUCCUUCUCGAGGUUUAUGAAACAAUGCAUGCAUAAUUCAAAGCAAUGUGAAUAAGAGCACUUGGAGAGCACAAACCUCCACCAAGGCAACACCAACGUCCUCUCAAUGAUUAGCCAGAGAUGAUUUUUAAAGUGAGAAUAUCUGAAAAACUCGACUGCUCUCACAAAGGGAAAUACUAGAAAUGAACUCAACUGCUCUCAAAGAUUAAGUAAAAAAAAAAAACAAGAAAAAUAAUUCAGAAUCCUUGUCUGGUACCUGAUCGAUCCCAAUGGAAUGUGACAGUGGCUGUAGAAAACUUAGUAACAGUAAUAAAUAGUUUAUCCUUGUCUAAUACAAGCUAAAGUUAAAUUCACCAUUCAAAAUAGUUACAGCCUAAAGGGAGAUAAUCAGAGAAAGACUUGACAGUGAACAUAAGAUUGUAAUACUUCAUGUAAAGUAAAUAUAACAAAUAAUCCAGAAUCCUUGUCCAGUAAUGGAUCAAUCCCAAAAUCUAAUCAGUUUGAGCUAGUCCUGAGGCCAAACAUGCCUGAAAGUUUCAUCCAAAUCUAUCCAGCGGUUCUUGAGAUAUCUUGUCCACGGACAAACAAACAAACGUGACUGAAAACAAUACCUUCGCUAAGGCGGAAGUAAUAAACAAAACAUUACAUUUGACAGAGUAAUCUGAAUGCUAAUAGGUUAAAUUGAUAAAAUUGCAACAAAAAUUACAACUCAAUAACUAUUAUUGUAAUAUACCAAAAAAAAACCCCCAGCUUUUUUCAUCUUUUUUUUUUUAUUCUACAGGUGACAAAGCUCUAUUUACAUAUAUAUACUUUCCAAAAUGCCUUACCCUAACCAACAUACCAUCCAGUCCCGGAAAGUUCUCAAGGAGGAGGUGCAGCUAUUGAGAAUGAACUACAAAAUAGUUCGGAAAAAUAUGAGUCAAACAAUCUCAGCACUUGUCAAGUACUGUAAUGAGAAUGCACCCAAUGACCCACUGAUCCAUCCGGUCAAGGAAAAUCCAUUUAAAGAAAAACGACUCUGCAUAAUUUUGUGAAUGCGACACACAUUUUGCACAUUUUGUACGUAUUAUGUUUCUGUGUAAUCUUUUUGUUUUAGUUAUUGAGCUGUGGCCAUGCAUACAUACAUAUAUAUAUUAUGGGCUUCUUCUGGUUUCCUUCUACCAAAUCCACUCAUAAGGCUUUGGUCGGCGCGAGGCUACAGUAAAAGACACUUGCUCAAGGUGUCACGCAGUGGACUGAACCCACAACUAUGUGUUUUGGAAGUAAGAUUCUUACCACACAGCCAUGUCUGCGUCUUUUUUAUGGUUUUUCUUUUUUACUUUUAUUAUUAUUUUUUAAAGUCUGGUACUUAUUCUAUUGGGCUUUUUUGCUGAACCACUAAGUUACAAACCAGUACCAGUUGUCAAGUGUUGGAGAAAUGAGUGACAGACACAUACACAUAAACACACACACAUACACAUGUAUAUUUCGGUCUUCUACACAGUUCCAUCUACCAAAUUUAAUCACAAGGCAUUGGUUGACCUUGGGCUAUAGUAGAAGACACUUGCCCAAGGUGUUGUGCAAUGGGAUUGAACCCAAAACUGUGGUUGCAAAACAAGCAUUUUUUGUUGUUUUUUACUUAAAAGAUACUCUUAUAUUGGUUUCAGCCUUUGACUGUGGCCAUGCUGGAGCUCUGAUAUUAAGUGUUUAGUUAUAUCAGCACUAGGGUAAAGAUUAACGACCUCUUUUACCAUGACCGUGGGAUUGCACCUAGAAAGUUCCCCUCCUAAGCACAAGUUCAGACAAGAUUGCAUAUGGAAGACCAGUUGUCGCCCAUGCAUACCAGCCUCCUCUCACCAUAUUAUCCAAGGGAAAGGCAAAGGGGCCGAUACAGCUUGGCACCAGUGACCUCACAACUCAUUUCUUCAGCUGAGUGAACUGGGGCUACGUGAAAUAAAGUGCUUUGCUCAAGAACACAACACACAGCCCAGUACAGGCAUUGAACUCACUACCUUAUGAUGGUGAGCCUGAUGCUCUUUAACAAUUGAUCAAUGCACCUUCACACACACACACAAAGAGUAAAGAACCCCUUUGGUCAUGAAUGACCAUGGGAUUGCACCUAGAAAGUUACCCCCUGAGGCACAAGUCUGGGCAAGGUUGUAUAUGGAAGACCAGCAGCUGCCCAUGCAUACCUAUUUCUUUAUUACCCACAAGGGGCUAAACAUAGAGGAGACAAACAAGGCCAGUAAUAGGUAUUAGGUCGAUUACAUUGACCCCAGUGCGUAACUGGUACUCAUUUAAUCGACCCCGAAAAGAUGAAAGCAAAGUCGACCUCGGCGGAAUUUGAACUCAACGUAACGGCAGACGAAGUACCGCUAAGCAUUUCGCCCGGCGUGCUAACGAUUCUGCCAGCUCACUGCCCAUGCAUACCACCCUUCCCUCAUCAUCCCACCGAUGUUAUCCAAGAGUAAGGCAAAGGGACCGAUACAGCUUGGUACCAGUGAUGUUGCAACUCAUUUCUACAGCUGAGUUUACUGGAGUAGCAUGAAAUAAAGUGUCUUGCUCAAGAAAACACAUAGCCAAGUCCUGCAAUUGAACUCACUACUUCAUGAUGGUGAGCUUGAUGCUCUAACCACUGAGUCAUGCACUCAGGUAUAUCAACACUAGCAUUCAGUCUGGUUUUAUUUUACCAAUUUCUAUUUAUCAAGUCAUUAAGAACUAUAUAACAGACACUAAUUUGGAGGAAAAUUAGAUGCGAGAAAUUUUCAGUUGAUUAAAUUCUUCAAUUUAGUUUUGAUUAAUGAAUUGCUUGUUCCUGUAAUAACUGUUUAGAAUGUUGUAGCAGUACCGAAUGAUGCGGAGUGGUCAGGGUACUAUCUAUUGUGCAUUAGUACUGUUGCUGCUGCUGCCAGUACUGCUACUGCUAUUAGUGGUGGUGGUGGUGGUGGUGGUGGUGGUGGCAGUAUUGGCCAAGGUUGCUGUAUUUGGAGCAUCAUUGCUGCAGUGGAGUCACAUGGCUUAGUGGUUAGUGUCGGACUCAUGAUUGUAAAAUUGUGGUUUCGAUUCCUGGACUGGGUGACACAUUGUGUUGUUGACGAAAGCAUUUCAUUUCAUGUUGCUCCAGUCCACUCAGCUGGCAAAAAAGAAAAUCAGUAACCCUGUGAUGGACCGGCAUCCCAUCUGGAAUCUAAAUUUCAUGGAAACCAGGAAACUGACCCCUUAUGAGUCAGCGUGACUUGAGAACGUAACUUGACUACUUGCUUUACAUCAUUGCUACUGCUACUACUACUACAACUAUUACUACCAGUAUUAGCUAGGGCAGUGGUUUUCAACCAGGGUUCCGUGGAACCUUAGGGUUCUGCCAGUACAGUACAGUCCAGGGGUUACGCAAGAAGUUACAAAAAUGCUAAAAUCGACAGUAAUUUUUAAUUCUCCUGUGCAGAUAUGUGUGCAUAAGACAAUUAAAUUAUUGCACAGGGGUUCCUCGAGCCAGUGAAAUGUUUUCUUGGGGUUCCGCUCCAGCAAAAAAGGUUGAAAAGCACUGAGCUAGGGUGUUACUGAUGGCGAUGGUAUUGGCAAAGGAUGAUACAUCUGGGGCAUCAUUGCUGCUGCUGCUACUACUACUACUACUACUACUACUACUACUACUACUACUACUACUAAGGCAGCAAGCUGAUAGAAUUGUUAUUGUGCCAAGCAAAAUACUGAGGGGCAUUUCAUCUGUCUUGAUGUUCUGAGGUCAAAUUCUGCUAAGGUUGACAUAGCUUUACAUCCUUUACAAAAGGAUGUAAAUAAGUACCAGUUGAGCACUGAGUCGAUGUAGUUUAUUCGCCUUUUCCCCACUUUAAGACCUUAUGCUUAUGGCAGGAACAACAACAACAACAACAACUACUACUACUACUACUACUACUACUACUACUUUUAGCUUAAAUAACAAAUAUCAGUUUCUGAUUAUUGUGAUGAGGAUGAUAGCACUAGACUUUGGUGAAUCAGUCAUCUGUGACUUUUUUUUUCUCCAUCUGGAAUCAUUAAAUCUGCCUUUGCAGCAUGAUUUAGUACAAUACAUAUGUAACAUUCGGUACUAGUAUCAUAGACUGGUCCCAGACGUAGGCAGUCGAUCCUACGAGCUGACUGGCGCAUGCACGAUAUAUACUUGUAUCGAUAUAUACGAUAUAUAAUUGUAUACGAUAUAUACUUGUAUCGCACGUCCCCGAUACAAGUAUAUAUCGUGCGCGAAUCGGGGACGUGCGAUACAAGUAUAUAUCGUGCAUGCGCCAGUCAGCUCGUAAGAUCGACUGCCUACGUCUGGCUAGCACGGAUGCGCGUCUGCGCGUGUGUGCAAACCGGGACCAGUCUACGCUACUAGUACCAUAACAUUCUAACUUGCAGACAUUUUCCCAUUCAUACACUUGAUGCCAAAAAGAAACACAUGCAAACACACACACACACACACACACACACACAGAGUUAUGUUUUGGCAAAGGAGACAGGAUCUACAAAUGUUGGGACUUACAGGGAACUGAGACGCCUGGCAGUUUGCCAUGCUUGAAAAGAGACAUGUUGAGCUAAAUAAAGUGUGGUUGCCCUUGCAUUCAGAUUCGUCCCUUGCAACCCACUCCAGCUGAACAUCCUUUAUCUUGCAGGCAUCAUAAGUACUGAUGCCAUGUAAAAAGCACCUGUACUGGUGCUAUGUAAAGGCACCCAGUACACUCUGCUAGGAAGGGCAUCCAGCUGUAGAAACCAUGCCAAAUCAGACAUGGAGCCUGAACAGCCCUUCAGUUGGUCAGCUUCUGUCAGACCGUCCUACUCAUGCCAGCAUGGAAAACAGACAUUAAAUGAUGAUGAUGUAUUAACCAAGUUAUGUGAUCCAUCAUUACCACAUUUCUGAUAAAAUACGCUGCCUUAAUUUCACUUAAUUUUCAAAAUAAUGAAGAAUUUGGUAAACUGGUGUUUAAGGCAGUGAGCUGGUAGAAUUGUUAGCACGUUGGGCAAAAUGCUUAGUGAUAUUUCGUCCACCUUUACAUUCGAGUUCAAACUUCUCCAAGGUCGACUUUACUUUUCAUCCUCCCAGGAUUGAUAAAAUAUAAGUAUCAGUGAUGUACUGGUGUCAAUAUAAUCAACUUACCCCACCUCUACAAAAAAAAAAAAAGAAGCUGUUAGCUCUAUGACUGCUUUAACCAGUAUGUGCUUAAAACGAUAAAAUAAAAUGGUAGUUGUGGUUUGAGGGUAAUUUGACUGCUAUUUCUAAAACAGCUUGAGCAACCACAGAGACUCGUCCAUCUAAGUUUUUCUGAUCUGAUAUAUUGUCAAGUCAAAUUCGGUACGUUGAGAUUUUCGUUAUUCUGUCUAAUCUAUUAAAAUGCCUGGUUCAUCUGAUAAGAUGCAACAUUGAAUACUUAAAAAUCAAAGAAACAAUUCUGCGAGGUUUAAUGAGCUGUUGUUUACCAGGUUUCCUUAUCAUGUGUAAAUGGAGAAUUGAAAUCUUGUCCAGUGUUUCAUGGAAAGCAUGUCCUUUCCUUUGCAAAGGUACAUAACUCUGUUUACCUCAACUUACUGCCUGACAGCAAUGAACAUUACACCUUAUUAAUCUUAUUACCAGUAAAUGUAAUUGUUCUAUAAAAUCAAUACAGAAAAACAUGGGAAAGACAAAAUAAGUUAAUUAGAGAUACACGUCUUUAGUAAAAUAGAUUUCUAGCCACACAGUAAGAAUUUCGUUGAGGUACUCCUGGAUUAUUUCUAACUAGCAGUAUCGCCCGGCGUUGCUCGGGUUUGUAAGAGAAAUAACUAUAUAAGCAUUUUUAGAGAGUUAUAGCCAAAAAGUAGCAAAAAAAUGCAUUAAGAAUGGAAAAAAAAUUAUGGUAAAUUUUUUUAAAAUCGUUGACUCAUCGUAGACAUUUUUAGAGAGUUACUUCCCUUAUAUAAUAGCGAAAAAAUGCAUUAAAAUGGAAAAAAAAUGAUGGUAAAUUUUUUUAAAAUCGUAGACUCAUCGUAGACGCGUGCUAAUACCCAGAAGGGCUCGAUAUGAAUCACGACUAUAAGAUACCCGGUUUUGAUUAAACUGCACUGCAAAAUGUGGGAGUAGUUAGGAAUCUAAAUCGUAGGAGACAGACACACAACUUGACUUUUAUAUAUAAAGAUUAGGUAAUCUGAUUAAUGUAUUCAAAAUAUCUUCACAUUAAAUUAUUAAACCAGUGACUAAAGGGGGCUAGAAAUAGCAACUGAAUCACUCUCAAAUCUGCAUCACUACCUUUAAAAUAGAGGAACGAUACAUUUAAUGAAGUAGUCCCAGAUAACUCCAAGAAUUCAGGAUAGUCAAGGUUGGAAUGCCUAUUCUGUCAGGAUUGAUCUGGAGCUGAACAACAACAACCAGUGUCAACAAAGGAUCCUUAUGUUGUUGCUUGACCUGCUAGAAAUAGCAGUCAAAACUCUCUUAAACCUUGUUUGGAAAAAAAUUUUAAGAUAAUUUUAGGUGCAAGAGUGGCUGUGUGGUAAGUCGCUUGCUUACCAACCACAUAGCAGUCUUCACGUCCUUAACUCAGUACUCCACAACCUUUUUCCCCUUGUGGUACACUUAUAUUCUUUUCAAAAUUCAGCAGCACACCUCAACUAAAAAUGGAGUGGCUGUGUGGUAAGUAGCUUGCUUACGAACCACAUGGUUCCGGGUUCAGUCCCACUGUGUGGCAUCUUGGGCAAGUGUCUUCUACUAUAGCCUCAGGCCAACCAAAGCCUUGUGAGUGGAUUUGGUAGACGGAAACUGAAAGAAGCCCAUCGUAUAUAUGUAUGUGUGUGUAUGUUUGUGUGUCUGCGUUUGUCCCCCUAGCAUUGCUUGACAGCCGAUGCUGGUGUGUUUACAUCCCCGUAACUUAGCUGUUCAGCAAAAUAGACCGAUAGAAUAAGUACUGGGCUUACAAAGAAUAAGUCCUGGGGUCGAUUUGCUUGACUAAAGGCGAUGCUCCAGCAUGGCCACAGUCAAAUGACUGAAACAAGUAAAAGAGUAAAGGAGGAGGUGCAGCUAUUGAGAAUGAACUACAAAAUAGUUUGGAAAUGACUGAAAUGUAUAGGGAAAAAAAUUAGACACCUAGCAUUGUCUCAUGGCACACCAGUGUGCCACGGCAUACCAGUUGCAGAGCACUGCCUUAACUUGAUAUUCAGUGUCUUCCACAAGUUGUUUGAUAUGUCCUCUUCAUGGUCUGCUGAUAGAUGUAAAUCCAUGCAUGAGUUUUCAGUUAAGGAAAUUGCUGGAUAUUUCAUUGCAAUCACAUGGAGUACAUAAUCACGUGAUCGACCAGGCUAUCAGAUGUUGCUACACAUCGGUGGUCACAAUGCGCUUCACAUUGUUUUAGCCUUCAAAUGAUGCCACCCCGCUGGCUAAGCGAGCAGGGAUCGUCACUACCCCCCUGCCGGAGCCUCGUGCAGCAUUAGGUGUUUUCGCUCAAUAAACACUCACAACGCCUGGUCUGGGAAUCGAAACCACGAUGCUAUGACCGCGAGUCCGCUGCCCUAGCCACUGGGCCAUUGCACCUCCACGGAGUACAUCAUACCUAGGUAAAAUAUGGAAUGGCCAUAAAUGGAAUAGUGGAAGUGCAUGGCUUAGUGGUUAGGGUGUUGGAUUUAUCUCGUAAGAUUAUGGUUUUGAUUCAUGGACCAGGCAUUGUUGCAGCCCACUCAUCUGGUAAGAAUGCAUUAUUCUGUGACAGACUUGUAUUCUGUCCCAGGGUGAAUAUAAAUACACCAGGAAAACUUGGAAACCAACCCUAUACUUGUUAUGGGGUAAUGUGGACUGACCAUGGCUGGAAUGCUUUAGAUCACUAGUCUACUUCUUCAGGGCUGACAUAAGGUCAAACAACAGCAAAAUCUGGUGCUGCUACUCAAAUCAGCAACGUUUCUUAACAUUUUAGUUGUUCGUUAUCAACAUUAAUUUAUAUGCAGAUGUAUUUCUACAGUCAAUAAGUUUAAUUUGAUAAUAAUUAAAUUAUGUCAGUUCUGUCUUCGUUAUAUAAUCAACUAAUUUCUUUUGUCUUUUCUUUUCACAGAUCAAGAUGUUUUUUUUUUUUCUAAAUUUAUUUUUGGUCCCACGAACUUGGUCUUUUAGUACCAUUGCUACUCUACCACCGCCAUAUGGGGGGGAAAAAUUUCUUUCCAUAUACUACAUCCUCUUUUGAGGAAAUUCUAACAAACACACACACACACACAUACAAUAUAUAUGUAAAAAAAAUUUUCUUUCUCUUUUUUUAUAUUCUUGUACUAAAAAUAAAAAUAUUGAAAUGAAUUUUUUUUAAAAAUUUUAAUUAUUAUAUUGAUUAUAAAAGCAAUCAUGAAAAACAUGUAAUAAACACACAUACAAAAAAAUAAAUAAAAACGGAAAGAUAUUCUUUCAAGAAGUUCAAACAAUGAAAAUAAAUCAUUAAAAUUAGAUGAAUUAU